CUCUAGAUGUUGCUGAACUACAACUCCCAUGAUUCUCAGUCUGUCAUUCAUGGAAUCAUGGGAGUUGUAGUUCAGCAACAUCUGGAG
rnacentral:miRNA from 1 species